GAGGGUAUAGCUCAGUGGUAAAGCAUAUGUGUAGCAUGCAUGAGGUCCUGGGUUCAAUCCCCAGUAUCUCCA
rfam:Camelus ferus unplaced genomic scaffold scaffold105, whole genome shotgun sequence.